rnacentral:rRNA from 1 species
AUUGAACGCUGGCGGCAUGCCUUACACAUGCAAGUCGAACGGCAGCACGGGAGCAAUCCUGGUGGCGAGUGGCGAACGGGUGAGUAAUGUAUCGGAACGUGCCCAGUCGUGGGGGAUAACGCAGCGAAAGCUGUGCUAAUACCGCAUACGAUCUAUGGAUGAAAGCGGGGGAUCGCAAGACCUCGCGCGAUUGGAGCGGCCGAUACCAGAUUAGCUAGUUGGUGGGGUAAAAGCUUACCAAGGCGACGAUCUGUAGCUGGUCUGAGAGGACGACCAGCCACACUGGAACUGAGACACGGUCCAGACUCCUACGGGAGGCAGCAGUGGGGCAUUUUGGACAAUGGGCGCAAGCCUGAUCCAGCAAUACCGCGUGCAGGAUGAAGGCCUUCGGGUUGUAAACUGCUUUUGUACGGAGCGAAAAGGCUCUCUCUAAUACAGGGGGCUCAUGACGGUACCGUAAGAAUAAGCACCGGCUAACUACGUGCCAGCCGCCGCCGUAA